rnacentral:rRNA from 1 species
AGAUAGUGUCUUUAUUUUAAAUUUGUAAUUUAUAGUAAGAGUAAAAAUACUCUGGUGUGAUUAAGGGACGACAAGACCCUAAAAGCUUUAUUUUUAGUAUUAGUUUGAGUUUAAAAUAAAAUAGAGAGUUUAACUGGGGUAGUUUUUUUGUAAAAUCUGAGGUUGUAGAAGGCAUGUAAAGUGGGGUUAGGUCCUUUAGAUAAGGAUAAUUUGAGUGAGUUACUUUAGGGAUAACAGCGUAAUAGUCCUAGGGAGAUCGUAUCUAUGGGGCUGAUUGCGACCUCGAUGUUGAAUUAAAAGCUCAGUGUAG